CCAAAUUAUAUGUGACGUACUCAGGUGAUUGUAGUUUACAACAAGAAAAGGUUAAAGGACGCUGCUGGCGGCGUUCGCUUUAAUCUUUAUCAGGAACAAAACCAGGUUCAGGGCAUUUGGUGAUCUUUUUAUUACAAGAAAAGUGUGGACAGUGCGUCUUGAUGGUAAAAAGUUCUAGAAGCUCCACAAUCUACUCCCAAAAAUGUAGAAUACAUUCCAUUUGCUGCAGUACAAAAUUAGAUCAGAAUGGCUCAACUAACAAAAAGCAAUAUUGCCAGAAACAAUAACAAGCCAGAAGAAGCUUCUCUCACAGAGACGGAUAUAAGAACUGCUGGUAAGAUUGGUCGUCAGCUGGCAGAGAUAGGAGAUGAAAUUAAUCAGCAUUACAAUGAAACUUUCCAAAGUAUUCCGCUGCACAGGACACGUACCACUACAUGUGUACAUGGGUCGUCCAGCAUCAUUGCACAAUGGUAAGCAGUUGAACUGGUUCCAGAUUCAAAUUUAUCCUGAAUAUCCAUGCCCAGCAGCUCAUGUUACUUAACAAUAGCUGUAUUAAA